GAUGAACGCUGGCGGCAUGCCUAACACAUGCAAGUCGAUCGGUAAGGCUCUUCGGAGUACACGAGAGGCGGACGGCUGAGUAACGCGUAGGAACACACCCUGCAGUGAGGGAUAAGACACCGAAAGGUGUUCUAAUACCGCAUACGGUCUUCGGAUUAAAGCAUUUAUGCGCUGAAGGAGUGGCCUGCGUCAUAUUAGAUAGUUGGUGAGGUAAUGGCACACCAAGUCGAUGAUGUGUAGCUGGUCUGAGAGGAUGAUCAGCCAGACUGGAACUGAGACACGGUCCAGACUCCUACGGGAGGCAACAGUGAGGAAUAUUUCACAAUGAGCGAAAGCUUGAUGGAGCAAUGCCGCGUGCAGGAUGAAGGCCCUCGGGUUGUAAACUGCUUUUAUAAGAGAAGAUUAUGACGGUAACUUAUGAAUAAGGGACGGCUAACUACGUG
rnacentral:rRNA from 1 species